rnacentral:misc_RNA from 1 species
GAUGAAGAACGCAGCGAAAUGCGAUAAGUAGUGUGAAUUGCAGAAUUCAGUGAAUCAUCGAAUCUUUGAACGCACAUUGCGCACUUUGGUAUUCCUUAGGGCAUGCCUGUUCGAGCGUCAUUUAAACCUUCAAGCUAAGCUUGGUGUUGGGUGACUGUCCGCUUCACUGCGGACUCGCCUCAAAAUUAUUGGCGGCCGGUACAUUGGCUUCGAGCGCAGCAGAAACGCGAACUCGGGCCCGUCGUAUUGGCUCCCAGAAGCUAUCUUCACAAUUUUGACCUCGGAUCAGGUAGGGAUACCCGCUGAACUUAAGCAUAUCAAAAGCGGAGGA